CUGCCACUGCCCUAUCUUCCCCUAAAAACUUCUAGAUUGGAGAAGGACACAAGGGUGUAGGUUUAUCACAAAAGGUAAGUUGAUUUAUAUAAAUCCACUCUAGCGGCAAAUCUUUGAAAGGCAGGGGCAUAAACGUCUUUAAAAUAAAGAAUCUCGUCGUUGGCGCUUCCUUGCGCCCGACCGGCUCAAAAGCCGAGUGAUUUAGGCCGGCAUCAAAUUCUACUACACGCCCAGGUUCACAUCCAUCAAACCAACAAAGUAAUUUUUGGACACGUGUAAAAAUCCCAUGGGACCCACGGAAUGUCC
rnacentral:lncRNA from 1 species